GUGAGGAAUAUUGGUCAAUGGACGAAAGUCUGAACCAGCCAUGCCGCGUGGAGGAUGAAGGUCCUCUGGAUUGUAAACUUCUUUUAUAUGGGACGAAAAUGGGGCUUUCUAGCUCAACUGACGGUACCAUAUGAAUAAGCACCGGCUAACUCCGUGCCAGCAGCCGCGGUAAUACGGAGGGUGCAAGCGUUAUCCGGAUUCACUGGGUUUAAAGGGUGCGUAGGUGGAUUGGUAAGUCAGAGGUGAAAUCUCCGGGCUCAACUCGGAAACUGCCUUUGAUACUAUCAAUCUUGAAUAUUGUGGAGGUUAGCGGAAUAUGUCAUGUAGCGGUGAAAUGCUUAGAUAUGACAUAGAACACCAAUUGCGAAGGCAGCUGGCUACACAUAUAUUGACACUGAGGCACGAAAGCGUGGGGAUCAAACAGGAUUAGAUACCCGGGUAGUCC
rnacentral:rRNA from 1 species